rnacentral:rRNA from 1 species
UGCAAGUUGUAAAUGCUCGGUAAGAGUGUUUAGCGAACGGCUCAGUAACACGUAGCUAAUCUAACCUAAAGAGGAGUUAAUCCCGGGAAACUGGGGAUAAUGCUCCGUAGAAGAAGCAAACUGGAAUGUUGUUUCUUUUAAAGGAAGCGAUCUAUAUCCCGAUCGUGUUCGCUUCAGGAUGAGGCUGCGGCGCAUUAGGUAGUUGGCGGGGUAACUGCCCACCAAGCCGAUGAUGCGUACGGGCCCUGAAAGGGGUAGCCCGGAGAAGGGAACUGAGACAAGGUCCCUAGCCCUACGGGGUGCAGCAGUCGCGGAACCUUUACACUGCGCGAAAGCGCGAUAGGGGGAUUUCGAGUGGUCACACAGUGACCUUUUGCUAAGCCUAAAAAGCUUGGCGAAUAAAGGGGGGGUAAUAUACGUGCCAGCCGCCGCGGUAAUACGUAAUCCCUAAGUGGUUUCCACUUGUAUUGGGCCUAAAACACCUGUAGCUGGUGUGGUAAGUCUUUGGUGAAAUCGAUUCGCUCAACGAAUUGAAUUGCUAGAGAUACUGCCAUGCUUGGGGAAGGGAGACGUAAAGAGAACUUUUGGGGUAGCGGUGAAAUGCGAUGAUCCUAAAAAGACUUCCAGUAGCGAAGGCGCUUUACGAGAACUAUCCUGACAGUGAGAGAUGAAAGCUGGGGGAGCGACCUGGAUUAGAUACCCAGUUAGUCCCAGCUGUAAACGAUGUAGACUAGGUGUUCUGUUUCCUUCAUGGAAAUGGAGUGCCGUAGCGAAGGCAUUAAGUCUACUGCCUGGGGAGUACGCCCGCAAGGGUGAAACUUAAUGGAAUUGGCGGGGGCUCACUACAAGGGGUGGAUGCUGCGGUUUAAUUGGAUGCAACGCCCGAAAAUCUUACCAGGGAAGACAGCAGAAUGAUUGACAGUCUGAAGGGCUUUCAUGACACGCUGAGAGGGCCUGUAUGGUCACCGCCAGCUCGUACCGCGAGGCUUCCUGUUAACUCAGGCAACGGGCGAGACCCAUACCCUUAGUUGCUACUCCGACUUUCGUUGGGGGCACUCUAGGGGGACUGCGGGAGCAAUCUCGAGGAAGGAAUGGUCAACGGUAGAUCUGUAUGAGCCGAAUUUCCUGGGCAACACGCGGCACACAAUGGUUGAGACAAUGGGCUGCUAACCCGAAAGGGGGCGCUAAUCUCUCAAACUCAACCUCAGUUCGGAUUGAGGGCUGUAACUCGCCCUCAUGAAGUUGGAAUCCCCAGUAAUCGCGCGUCAUUAUCACGCGGUGAAUAAGUCCCUGAGCCUUGCACACACCGCCCAUCAAGCCAGCUGAGUGGAGUCUGGAUGAGUUUUUGCCGAAAGGUUUGAACGAUUCUUGGUUUCGCGAAGGGGGCUAAGUUGUAACAAGGUG